rnacentral:misc_RNA from 1 species
CAAGAAGCCGAAAGGCUACUUAAAACCAUCGUGAACUCGUCCAAGUUGCUUCGGCGGUGCGGCGGCCCUUCACCGGGACGCCGCGGCCCUCUGCCCCCGGGAGACCGGAGGUGGCGGGGCGCCCGCCGGAGGUACGAAACUCUAUGUCUUAUAGUGAAUCUCUGAGUAUAAAACAAAUAAGUUA